GCCUUGUUGUGACCUUUUCUCUCUUAACCAAAACAGCCCUUUCUUUAUCAUCUUCUUCUUUUCCUUUCUAUCUGUGAAUAUAAAAGAAACCCUCAGGCCGUAUAUAUGCAACUAAAGAACACAAGAUAUUCGUCCGCAGAACUCAGCGAGAAAGAUCCAGAGAGAAGCCAUGGGUGGUUUGCAAAGAUCUGAUGUGUCUUUUAGGAGGCAAGGAUCUUCAGGUAUUGUGUGGGAUGAUAAGUUUUUGUCAGGGGAGCUAAACCGGGUAGCGAACCUGAAGCAAGAACGAGAACACGAACAAGAACGAGAGCUACAAGAAAAGCUAGAUAUCAAUCAAGAAAAGGAUGUUAAGCCAUCAUCAGGAUCUAUCACCACCAUUGAAAGAAGCCGAUCCAACGGCGGACAACGAUCCUACCGCACCGGCAAGGUCUCUCCGGCUAUAGAACCUCCUUCGCCAAGAGUCUCUGCUUGUGGGUUUUGCGGUGCUUUUGGAAAACCAGCAAAGAAUCAUCGGAAGAGGGCCGGUAACCCCAGAUCACGAUAAUUUUCCACGUUUUAGUGUAGCCGGGGAUGGAAUAUUCCGGUGAGUUAGGGGAAGAGGGAAUAUGAUUGUUUGCACUAUUGGUACUAUUUACAUAUGCUGUUGGGGUUGUAGGGUUAAGACCUUGGAAGUUCAUCUCACUAAACUGAGAUGCAGGGGCCUUUUUUUUUGAACAGAACCGAGUUAAAUUCCUUUCUUGUCCUGCUAAUUUAGCUAUGUUCAUUUUACUGAGUUCUUGUUCUUAGAUUUUACAGAUGGUUUUGUGUUUUGGUUGGAUCCAGUUAUGUGUAUAUGGUUUGGUUAUCGAUCAGGAAAUUUGCUUUUCUUCUGUAUAAAAAUCACAUCUUUAUU
rnacentral:misc_RNA from 1 species